AUACUCCUCUGGCAAGGAGAGAUGCCAUGAGCACAAACGCGGUUUCCGGGGUGAGCCUCAUCCAUCGGACUCCAGAUGUGCCGACCUCUGCCGUUUCCCCAAACUCGGAGGCUCCCCUACAUAAUCUGUGAUGGCGAGGACUGUGUUCCUGC
rnacentral:snRNA from 1 species